rnacentral:rRNA from 1 species
GACGAAGGAUGCAAGCGUUAUCCGGAUUCAUUGGGUUUAAAGGGAGCGUAGGUGGCCUUAUAAGUCAGUGGUGAAAUCUCUGGGCUUAACCCAGAAAUUGCCAUUGAUACUGUAGGGCUUGAGUACAGUUGCUGUGGGCGGAAUAUGACAUGUAGUGGUGAAAUACAUAGAGAUGUCAUAGAACACCGAUUGCGAAGGCAGCUCACAAAACUGUAACUGACACUGAGGCUCGAAAGUGUGGGGAUCAAACAGG